CACGUAGGGGACGAGCGUUGUCCGGAUUCAUUGGCGUAAAGCGCGCGUAGGCGGCUCGGAAAGUCGGUCGUGAAAUGCCGGGGCUCAACCCCGGGACUGCGUCCGAUACUUCCGGGCUGGAGGUAGGUAGGGGAGAUCGGAAUUCCUGGUGUAGCGGUGAAAUGCGCAGAUAUCAGGAGGAACACCGGUGGCGAAGGCGGAUCUCUGGGCCAUUACUGACGCUGAGGAGCGAAAGCGUGGGGAGCGAACAGGA
rnacentral:rRNA from 1 species